rnacentral:rRNA from 1 species
UACGUAGGCGGCAAGCGUUGUCCGGAAUUAUUGGGCGUAAAGCGCGCGCAGGCGGUCUCUUAAGUCUGAUGUGAAAGCCCCCGGCUCAACCGGGGAGGGCCAUUGGAAACUGGGAGACUUGAGUACAGAAGAGGAGAGUGGAAUUCCAUGUGUAGCGGUGAAAUGCGUAGAUAUGUGGAGGAACACCAGUGGCGAAGGCGACUCUCUGGUCUGUAACUGACGCUGAGGCGCGACAGCGUGGGGAGCAAACAGG